UUCAAGCCGAGUUAACUUUGUAAACAACACAGAUGCACGUUUUCAUUUGCGAAUAGUAAUCACGAUUCUCUCACUCCUAGCGCAGAUUUGAGAGAUGUAGAACAUUGACAGCCAUGUUACACAUAGGAAGCUGGAGAUUACAUGUGGAGAAACUAGAGCCUUGAGAAAACACCCCUUGAGGACAACGAAGCCAAGGAAGCCCUACCUCUUCUCUUCUGACCAGUAUAAAAGAAAGAUGCUCCUGGCUGGUGGUAUCUCAUUUCGGAGUUGACCACAAUAAUGUACAGACCAAGACUAGAAUGUGAUGUUUUGCCUUGUUGGCACCCCAAGCAUUUGGCUUUUGCCAUGAUUAAUUAUUUUCCUUGCUAUAAUAUAUGUAUAUUUUUAUAUAAACUAGGUACUAAUCAUGCUACCUGUCAAUGACACAUAAUAGAAUGAUUUUAAAAUUAUUUGCUCUCGCUUGCCCUACAUGUACUUUCAGUGCCUUUCCUUAGUUUUCAUGAGUGUCUGAACUUCUCUUGAAUGCCACUUCUUCUCUCGAGUGCAUUCACGUAAAGCCUGUUUCUCACACUCUCAUUAUUUUCACAGUGCCUUGCUCACCUUCUGUCUGGUUUUAUUCUUCCUGUGUUUGAAGACAACUCUCUCAGCAUGUCUCAUAUGCCUUUUCUCUUCCUCGUGUGCAGUUCCUCUUCGAUCACGUCACCAAAGACAAACUGACUAAUCAUAUCACUCUGAGAUUGCAGUCACAGUGGAUUCAUUACAGUCACCAGGCACUCCUACUAUUCGAAGUAUUUUCCAGAAUAUGUUUACAUCCACUACUGCAUUUUGUGACUCCAGAACAGCGCUUGGACAGAUUAUUGCCCAGCAGUUUCCGAGACAGGGGUGUGUACACAGUCAGCGCCCGAAGCAACACCAUCACAGUGUGGAUUUGCAUCCCCAGUACGAGGGUCACCUUUUUAAUAUUGUCUGAAACAGAAUAAACAGUAAUACUGUAUCUGCUGUACUGUACGAUUUUCUGAACUUGAACUUUUGAUUGCCUCUACCACAUUUUGCCACUCCACUGUUUAAGCCACCAAAUAGUACAUUUUUCCGUGCCUCCACUUCACUGAGC